GAUGAACGCUGGCGGCGUGCCUAAUACAUGCAAGUCGAGCGAACAGACGAGGAGCUUGCUCCUCUGACGUUAGCGGCGGACGGGUGAGUAACACGUGGAUAACCUACCUAUAAGACUGGGAUAACUUCGGGAAACUGGAGCUAAUACCGGAUAAUAUAUUGAACCGCAUGGUUCAAUAGUGAAAGACGGUUUUGCUGUCACUUAUAGAUGGAUCCGCGCCGCAUUAGCUAGUUGGUAAGGUAACGGCUUACCAAGGCAACGAUGCGUAGCCGACCUGAGAGGGUGAUCGGCCACACUGGAACUGAGACACGGUCCAGACUACUACGGGAGGCAGCAGUAGGGAAUCUUCCGCAAUGGGCGAAAGCCUGACGGAGCAACGCCGCGUGAGUGAUGAAGGUCUUCGGAUCGUAAAACUCUGUUAUUAGGGAAGAACAAAUGUGUAAGUAACUAUGCACGUCUUGACGGUACCUAAUCAGAAAGCCACGGCUAACUACGUG
rnacentral:rRNA from 1 species